CCUACGGGAGGCAGCAGUGGGGAAUUUUGGACAAUGGGCGAAAGCCUGAUCCAGCAAUGCCGCGUGAGUGAAGAAGGCCUUCGGGUUGUAAAGCUCUUUUGUCAGGGAAGAAACGGUGAAAGCUAAUAUCUUUUGCUAAUGACGGUACCUGAAGAAUAAGCACCGGCUAACUACGUGCCAGCAGCCGCGGCAAUACGUAGGGUGCAAGCGUUAAUCGGAAUUACUGGGCGUAAAGCGUGCGCAGGCGGUUUUGUAAGUCUGAUGUGAAAUCCCCGGGCUCAACCUGGGAAUUGCAUUGGAGACUGCAAGGCUAGAAUCUGGCAGAGGGGGGUAGAAUUCCACGUGUAGCAGUGAAAUGCGUAGAUAUGUGGAGGAACACCGAUGGCGAAGGCAGCCCCCUGGGUCAAGAUUGACGCUCAUGCACGAAAGCGUGGGGAGCAAACAGGAUUAGAUACCCUGGUAGUCCACGCCCUAAACGAUGUCUACUAGUUGUCGGGUCUUAAUUGACUUGGUAACGCAGCUAACGCGUGAAGUAGACCGCCUGGGGAGUACGGUCGCAAGAUUAAAACUUAAAGGAAUUGACGG
rnacentral:rRNA from 1 species